rnacentral:rRNA from 1 species
UACGUAGGGUGCAAGCGUUGUCCGGAAUUAUUGGGCGUAAAGAGCUCGUAGGCGGUCUACCGCGUCUGGUGUGAAAAUCCAGGGCUUAACCCUGGACCUGCAUCGGGUACGGGCAGACUAGAGUGCGGUAGGGGAGAUCGGAAUUCCUGGUGUAGCGGUGAAAUGCGCAGAUAUCAGGAGGAACACCGGUGGCGAAGGCGGAUCUCUGGGCCGUAACUGACGCUGAGGAGCGAAAGCAUGGGGAGCGAACAGG